rnacentral:rRNA from 1 species
UGGGGGAUAUUGCACAAUGGGCGAAAGCCUGAUGCAGCGACGCCGCGUGGGGGAUGAAGGCUUUCGGGUUGUAAACCUCUUUCGCUAUCGAACAAGGCCCGCUUAGGGUGGGUUGAGGGUAGGUGGAGAAGAAGCGCCGGCUAACUACGUGCCAGCAGCCGCGGUAAUACGUAGGGCGCGAGCGUUGUCCGGAAUUAUUGGGCGUAAAGGGCUUGUAGGCGGCUUGUUGCGCCUGCUGUGAAAACGCGGGGCUUAACUGCGAGCGUGCAGUGGGUACGGGCAGGCUUGAGUGUGGUAGGGGUGACUGGAAUUCCAGGUGUAGCGGUGGAAUGCGCAGAUAUCUGGAGGAACACCGAUGGCGAAGGCAGGUCACUGGGCCAUUACUGACGCUGAGGAGCGAAAGCAUGGGUAGCGAACAGG